UACGAAGGGGGCUAGCGUUGCUCGGAAUGACUGGGCGUAAAGGGCGCGUAGGCGGUUUGGUUUGUUAGGCGUGAAAUUCCUGGGCUUAACCUGGGGGCUGCACUUAAUACGGCCAGGCUUGAGUGUGGAAGAGGGUCGUGGAAUUCCCAGUGUAGAGGUGAAAUUCGUAGAUAUUGGGAAGAACACCGGUGGCGAAGGCGGCGACCUGGUCCAUUACUGACGCUGAGGCACGAAAGCGUGGGGAGCAAACAGG
rnacentral:rRNA from 1 species